GCCCACCUCUGUUUCUUUUCUUCCACACGCACGCGACCUGCUCUCUCUAUCGUCCCUUAUCCCACAUGCCUCCUAACACGACCCCACCUCAUGCCUGGGCGCUGCGCCGACACCUCCUCCCUCCGUCGUCCCCAGGUCCACGAAGGCGGGGAUUGUGGUGAUGUCGAGCAGGGUAGCAGGAGGCCAAGGAGUGAGAGGCGGGUGGCCAGAUCGGGUACUAAUGUGUCGGCGCGCCAACCUCGGCCUUGUAGAUGUCGAAGUGGCGGCGGUCGCCAGGCCUGUUGGUGUCGCGAUGGUGAAGUGCUUGGAGGCGCAUGAUCGAUGGCCAAGUAGUAUGCAACGCGAGACGCCGAGAUCGGGCAUCAGCACUGCCAAAGGUGCGCCGCCCAUGUCUCUCCCCGCCCUCGCCCUCGCCCGGCCACAUCUACCCCUCCCCUCGCGCACUCGAUGCGGCUUGACCAUGUCAUCCCCACAAACGAGCUUGGACUCGGCGGCUACACAUCAAUCACUUCGAGCGACGCAUCCCCACUUCUUAGGGAAGUGGAUCCCAUCGGCCUGGGUUUGACCUUGUCAAGAAGGCCGUAGUGGAAAAUUGGUUGUAAUCUGCUCUAUCUCCCCCUUACAGUUUUGCCAUGUAUUGUGCUUGCUUGUACCUAUUGGACGAGAAAAGAAUGGAGAGUCCAUGGUGAUUCAUUUUACUCCUAUAUUAAUACUUGUUCUGCAGGUAAACAUUUGGAAUUAUGCUAAUCAAGAGGUGUUGCAUGAAUUUGAUAUUGGACUAUCGGUAAAUACCAAUUUUAAUCAAUAGUUUCUCUCAUAAGUUGGAUCAUCACAAGAUUGGAGUCGGUCUGGUGUUGCUCUACUCUUUUCUGCCGUAAAGAGCCUAGAGCUGUUGUCCAUGCAUAUUUGACAAAAACUUCAUUUUCAAUCUAAAACAGGUCGGCGUAAAUAUGGAAAUAUGAAUAAUGCAAUACAUUGCAUUUCUGAAGGUUUCCAGUUUGAGAGAUAUGUUUCAACAUUCUAUUGCUUCUGGUGGAUUUGCGGGAGAUCGGUGUGGUGUUGUUCCAGCAUCAGGGUUUUGAUUUACCUCAAAAGAAUUUGGGGAAGUCAUCAAGGAGAACAAAGACCAUGAGUCCUUGACCUACGUGCUCAUAAAGUGAGUAUCGUCCUCCAUAUUCUAACUGAGCAAUCGACAUAAUGAUCAUUGAUUUUUUGGGAUCCCCACUUUGUAUACAAGACAAAAUGAAUUGUUGCAUUGUUCUUUAAAUGGGCACCAUAUUAGUGUAUCAGUACCGAGGCAUCAUACUAUAUUUUUUCUCUUUCUCUUGCCUUGUGUUUCUAUUCCAUGCAAAUAAACAAGGUCAUCUUAUCUGCUAGGUGAUCCCAAUGGUAGGUAAAUGGGGUUCACUCCCGUUUUUUAUUGAUGCAUUGUUAAAUUUCUUACAAUUACAAUAGUGUAAAGUCACCUAAUUUAUCAAUGUAUUUACUAGAGCUCAUUUAGUUCAAUGAAUAUUUACCAAUGUAUUUACUAGAGCUCCCGUUCGUGAUAAGUUCUUCUAUACUGGUGACUGUUAGCUGAAGUUGUUCCAUUGUGAGAAAUGAGCUUAAACUUGCAGUAUAACUCUGCUGUAAUAUCAGCACGACGAAAAGCCAAACAACUAUAGCAAUUCUUGAGAAGUUGUUCAGUAUCCUCUCCUUAUGAGCAAACACGAGUGUUGAGAAGGAGAAGUAAAAGAGCGAUCCAAUUUGACUACCUGGGGGCCCUGUGAAAUCUUUAUUUGUUCUAUGCUCAAUACACCAGACUACAAAACCUGUGAAGAGAAAGAAGGCCCCAAUUCCUAAUCAUAGGUCAGCUCUCAUAGGAUUUAGGAAUGUCCAUGCAAUCUUCUGCCUCCGGUCCCGGACUAGGACCAGCAUGCGGACCAUCGCAUAAUGUAUAUAUGAGUAAUUAACAGUACUCUGGAAUAAUGCAUUGUGUUUUGUCCUAUGUAUGAGUAAUUUACUUUGGUUU